GGUGAUGUGGCUCAGUGGUAGAGCAUCCUACUUUGCACAGAGAAGGUCUCAGGUUUAAUCCUCGCCUUCUCCA